UAACCGUGGAACUGCAUCGGAAACUGUCAUUCUUGAGUGCAGAAGAGGAGAGUGGAACUCCAUGUGUAGCGGUGGAAUGCGUAGAUAUAUGGAAGAACACCAGUGGCGAAGGCGGCUCUCUGGUCUGCAACUGACGCUGAGGCUCGAAAGCAUGGGUAGCGAACAGGAUUAGAUACCCUGGUAGUCCAUGCCGUAAACGAUGAGCGCUAGGUGUUGGGGACUUUCCGGUCCUCAGUGCCGCAGCAAACGCAUUAAGCGCUCCGCCUGGGGAGUACGACCGCAAGGUUGAAACUCAAAGGAAUUGACGGGGGCCCGCACAAGCGGUGGAGCAUGUGGUUUAAUUCGAAGCAACGCGAAGAACCUUACCAGGUCUUGACAUCCUGCGCUACACCUAGAGAUAGGUGGUUCCCUUCGGGGACGCAGAGACAGGUGGUGCAUGGCUGUCGUCAGCUCGUGUCGUGAGAUGUUGGGUUAAGUCCCGCAACGAGCGCAACCCUUGUCUUUAGUUGCCAUCAUUAAGUUGGGCACUCUAAAGAGACUGCCGGUGACAAACCGGAGGAAGGUGGGGAUGACGUCAAGUCAUCAUGCCCCUUAUGACCUGGGCUACACACGUGCUACAAUGGGCAGUACAACGAGAAGCAAACCCGCGAGGGUAAGCGGAUCUCUUAAAGCUGUUCUCAGUUCGGACUGCAGGCUGCAACUCGCCUGCACGAAGCUGGAAUCGCUAGUAAUCGCGGAUCAGCACGCCGCGGUGAAUACGUUCCCGGGCCUUGUACACACCGCCCGUCACACCAUGGAAGUCUGCAAUGCCCAAAGUCGGUGAGAUAACCU
rnacentral:rRNA from 1 species